rnacentral:tRNA from 1 species
GACCGGAUAGCUUAGUUGGUAGAGCAUCUGGGUAUCAUUCAGUAGGCCCUGGGUUCAAUCCCCGGUCUGGUCA